GGGAAGAGCGAAGGGGGGAACGCAAAGGGCACGCGCGGGCAGGCCGGAGAGGAGGCCCGGGGGAGGGGCAGGAGAAGCAAAAGCGGAGCGAGGCGGGGUGGGUGACGCACCGGAGUUUGGGUCAUCUUAACUCUUUUUUUUAAGAGACCUAAAAUUAACAUUCUUUUUUGCUCACUUUUGAGACGUACAUAAUUUUUUUUUAUUCGUCUACCCUGGUGGCAAAAAUUUUAUUAGAUCGUGAAUCACGUAGAGUGGACUCGCGUCUAUAAUUAUCAUGAUUUGACCUCAAAUCAGGUAAGAA
rnacentral:misc_RNA from 1 species